rnacentral:sRNA from 1 species
GUAUGGUGCUGGGUGCAGAUGCAAUGUGGCUCUGGAUAGCACCUUAUGGACAGUUGUGUCCCAAAGGAAGGAUGAGAAUAGCUACUGAAGUCCUAAAGAGCAAGCCUAACUCAAGCCAUUGGCACACCGGCAUUAGACAGAAAACUGGAAGUUGAAAUGGUGGAGUCCAACUUGUCUGGACCAGCUUAAUGGUUCUGCUCCUGGUAACGUUUUUAUCCACGGAUGGCUUGCUUGGGUAAGGACGUGAAGACAGUUCCUGUCAUACCUUUUUUAAAGGUAUGGAGAGUCGGCUUGACUACACUGUGUGGAGCAAGUUUUAAAGAAGCAAAGGACUCAGAAUUCAUGCUUGAAGAAAUGCAGGUUAGUUUAAACUUUUAAGGAAAUUUUUAAGGUGGCAAAAGGUUUUGGUGACAUAUACACCUUAAUCUGUAGAUGGGAGUGAUUAGCUGUUUAAAAGUUAAAAUGUGACUGAGAAGGAAAUUGAGUAGGGCAAAUUUUAAAUGGGUAUUAUUUUUCAUCUUCAAACAGGCAGACCUGUUAUCCUAAACUAGGGUUUUUAAUGACCACGACAAGCAAGCAUGCAGCUUACUGCUUGAAAGGGUCUUGCCUCACCCAAGCUGGAGUGCAGUGGCCUCUGAAGCUUACUACAGCCUCAAACUUCUGGGCUCAAGUGAUCCUCAGCCUCCCAAUGGUCUUUGUAGACUGCCUGAUGGAGUCUCAUGGCACAAGAAGAUUAAAACAAUGCUCCAAUUUUAAUAAAUUUUUGCAAUCCA